rnacentral:rRNA from 1 species
GUGUCAGCAGCCGCGGUAAGACGAACCGUGCGAACGUUAUUCGGAAUCACUGGGCUUAAAGCGCGUGUAGGCGGGCCGGCACGUCGGGUGCUGAAAGCCCCCGGCUCAACCGGGGAAGCGGCCUCGAUACGACCGGCCUGGAGGGGGGUAGGGGGAGCCGGAACUUCCGGUGGAGCGGUGAAAUGCGUUGAGAUCGGAAGGAACGCCCGUGGCGAAAGCGGGCUCCUGGACCCCACCUGACGCUGAGACGCGAAAGCCAGGGGAGCGAACGGGAUUAGAAACCCUGGUAGUAC